UACGAAGGGGGCGAGCGUUGUUCGGAAUUACUGGGCGUAAAGGGCGCGCAGGCGGCCUUUCAAGUCAGAUGUGAAAGCCCCGGGCUCAACCUGGGAAUGGCAUUUGGGACUGGAAGGCUCGAGAUCGGGAGAGGAGGGUGGAAUUCCCAGUGUAGAGGUGAAAUUCGUAGAUAUUGGGAAGAACACCGGUGGCGAAGGCGGCUCUCUGGACCGAUACUGACGCUGAGG
rnacentral:rRNA from 1 species